rnacentral:rRNA from 1 species
UACGGAGGGUGCAAGCGUUAAUCGGAAUUACUGGGCGUAAAGCGUGCGCAGGCGGUUUGUUAAGUCUGUUGUGAAAUCCCCGAGCUCAACUUGGGAAUUGCAAUGGAUACUGGCAGGCUGGAGUAUGGUAGAGGAAGGUGGAAUUCCCGGUGUAGCAGUGAAAUGCGUAGAGAUCGGGAGGAACACCAGUGGCGAAGGCGGCCUUCUGGACCAAUACUGACGCUCAUGCACGAAAGCGUGGGUAGCAAACAGG